rnacentral:rRNA from 1 species
GACGAACGCUGGCGGCGUGCUUAACACAUGCAAGUCGAACGAUGAAGCCGGAGCUUGCUCUGGUGAAUUAGUGGCGAACGGGUGAGUAACACGUGAGUAACCUGCCCUUGACUCUGGGAUACCUGCUAGAAAUGGUAGCUAAAACCGGAUACGACCCUCGGAGGCUAUUCCAGGGGGUGGAAAGAAUUUCAGUCAAGGUGGGACUCGCGGCCUAUCAGCUAGUUGGUGAGGUAACGGCUCACCAAGGCGACGACGGGUAGCCGGCCUGAGAGGAUGAUCAGCCACAUUGGGACUGAGACACGGCCCAAACUCCUACGGGAGGCAGCAGUGGGGAAUAUUGGACAAUGGGCGCAAGCCUGAUCCAGCCAUGCCGCGUGAGUGAUGAAGGCCUUAGGGUUGUAAAGCUCUUUCGUCCGGGACGAUAAUGACGGUACCGGAAGAAGAAGCCCCGGCUAACUUCGUGCCAGCCGCCGCUGUAA